rnacentral:tRNA from 1 species
GCUUCCUUAGCUCAGUCGGUAGAGCGCGAGUCUCAUAGAAAUUGAGGGACACAAGGGUCUCAUAAUCUCGAGGUCGCAAGUUCGAGCCUUGCAGGGAGCA